CACAUGGAAAUACAAGAUUAUAAAAUAUGACUCCUUUUACUCCGAGCCUGUCUAUGAGGUUGUAUUGCGGUGAAAGCCAACGUUAGAGAUAUAUAGUGCUUACCUGGACUGCACCAUCGGGUGCAAACUGAAAGCAACCUCAUGCGCCUGUACCACAGCAACAUCAAUCAACAUAUUCACAUGGAAAUACAAGAUUAUAAAAUAUGACUCCUUUUACUCCGAGCCUGUCUAAGAGAUAUAGAGUGGUUACCUGGACUGACAAUAAAAAAGGCUCCACCAAUAAGUUUGAUUGGUCCUAUGAUUUGAUCAUCUUAAAAAACAAUUUUUAAAUAGAUCUCAAAAGUCUAUUAUAGGGGUUUUCUUUAGUUUUCCAUUGUAUUAUUUUCUGUUUUGAUUUCAGUCCUCUAACAGUAAGUGUCACUGUGUACUGGAAAGCUAAAUGUCAUUAUUAUAUUUAUGUUUUAUAAAGUUUAAGGCAUGAAACCGAA